rnacentral:rRNA from 1 species
UACGUAGGGUGCAAACGUUAAUCGGAAUUACUGGGCGUAAAGCGUGCGCAGGCGGUUUUGUAAGUCUGUCGUGAAAGCCCCGGGCUCAACCUGGGAAUUGCGAUGGAGACUGCAAGGCUUGAAUCUGGCAGAGGGGGGUAGAAUUCCACGUGUAGCAGUGAAAUGCGUAGAGAUGUGGAGGAACACCGAUGGCGAAGGCAGCCCCCUGGGUCAAGAUUGACGCUCAUGCACGAAAGCGUGGGGAGCAAACAGG